AAACAGUCAUUAAACCACAAUUAUUAUAAAGCACUCAUAACUAUCCUAAGGAUCUAACAAGGGAUAUAGACAAGCUUUAAGGAGUAAUACAUCGAACGCAUCAUUGUUUUUAUCAUCUGGACGGGGCAUGGAUUGGGGGUGAGUUCUAUGUAAACUCAAUAAGGAAAACAAUAUUUAAACUACACUAAGGUUUAAAAAGUAUUUAGCCUUUGAAGAAAAAACAUAAGUUUCAAAAUAAAAAUGGACUCACCUCAUAAGCUUCCACGGACAAGCACAUUUUAAAUACCUAAAAAUGAUCAUCAUUUGACUUAUGAAAACAAGUUAUCAUAACAACAUAGUAAAGGCAAAGAUAGAUUAGAACAAACCAUAAACAAAAAGGCAAAAGUUAUUCAAACCUAGGUUCACAGUAAAAGCACCAUCAUCACUUAACCUCAACUGCGUUGGU
rnacentral:lncRNA from 1 species